rnacentral:lncRNA from 1 species
CGACAACAGAGGCAGCUUUUCCAGAGCCAUGAUUCUCCUGUUAAAGCCGUUGCUGUUGAUCCAACUGAAGAGUACUUUGUUACAGGAUCUGCCGAAGGCAAUAUAAAGAUUUGGAGUCUCUCUACCUUUGGUCUUCUCCAUACUUUUGUCAGUGAACAUGCUCGGCAGUCCAUUUUUAGAAAUAUUGGAACUGGAGUGAUGCAAAUUGAGACAGGGCCUGCAAAUCACAUUUUCUCCUGUGGAGCUGAUGGAACAAUGAAAAUGAGAAUACUGCCAGAUCAGUUUAGCCCUUUAAAUGAAGUGUUGAAAAAUGAUGUGAAAUUUAUGCUAUAACAUUUUUACAAUAAGAUGUACAAUUUAUUACCUAUAUGGAAGUGGCCAACAGAUAUAAUAUACAGUGAUCAUUCUCUAUGCCACAAAUUAGCUAAUGCUUUCUUGUUUUUAUAUUUAUUUUAUGGAGCUUUGCCCUUGAUGCACUGAUGCCUUAAAAAUUAACAAGGUCAUUCAGAAGUAGAUUACAUUGCCUAAAGUAGAAUGUGUAAGUAAUGCUGUAAUAAUACAUAUCAUAGUAUAUUAUAAUCAGUAUGUCAUAGUGUUAAAGGUGUUUUGUUUUCUUAUUGAUACUUUUCCACAGGCAUCUCUGCAUGAAUUUCUUCCACAGUAAAAAUACGUUUUUUGUAAAGGCAAUUGUACAUAAUACUCAUCACUUAAUUCACCACACUCUCACUUCCUUUAUUAGCCUUAUACAUCUCAAACUCUUCUCUUAAUUAAUGAUAGGUAUUUGAGUA